GACGAACGCUGGCGGCAUGCCUAAUACAUGCAAGUCGAGCGAACAGAUGAAGUGCUUGCACUUCUGACGUUGGCGGCGAACGGGUGAGUAACACGUAAGGAAUCUACCUAUAAGCGGGGGAUAACAUUCGGAAACGGGUGCUAAUACCGCAUAAUAUCUUCUUCCGCAUGGAAGAAGAUUGAAAGACGGCUCUGCUGUCACUUAUAGAUGACCUUGCGGUGCAUUAGUUAGUUGGUGGGGUAAUGGCCUACCAAGACGAUGAUGCAUAGCCGACCUGAGAGGGUGAUCGGCCAAAUUGGGACUGAGAGACGGCCCAAACUCCUACGGGAGGCAGCAUUAGGGAAUCUUCCGCAAUGGGCGAAAGCCUGACGGAGCAAUGCCGCGUGAGUGAAGAAGGCCUUCGGGUCGUAAAACUCUGUUAUAAGAGAAGAACAAAUUGUAGAGUAACUGCUACAGUCUUGACGGUAUCUUAUCAGAAAGCCACGGCUAACUACGUGCCAGCCGCCGCAGUAA
rnacentral:rRNA from 1 species